GAAAUGCGAUAAGUAAUGUGAAUUGCAGAACGCGAGUCAUCAGAUCUUUGAACGCAAGUGGCGCCGGUUCGCAGCCGGCAUGUGGGGCUCAGUGUGUAAGGAAAUCACACAGGUGAAUGUGGUUGAAAGUGAGUACGCACACCGCGUACACGCACACCUUCUCCCAUUAAACGAGCGGAUUUGUUACAAGUGGGUUCUGCACCCUCUCUCACCGCGCACCUCUCCGGAAGUAGUCACUAGCUCCCUAGUGAUCUACGGAGUAUGCAGGCGAGUGUGGUGCACGAUUUUCCCACGUCGAUAAUACAUUUCUCUCUCUACAUACACCUGAGCUUCGCAAGAUUACCCGCUGAACUUAA
rnacentral:misc_RNA from 1 species